GCAGCCAUGGCGUAGCGGUGGCGCACUGGGCUUCCAUCCCUGGGGGGCGGGUUCGACUCCCGCUGGCUGCU
rnacentral:tRNA from 1 species